CUGGAGGAAUACCGAUGGCGAAGGCAGCCAUCUGGCCUAAUACUGACGCUGAGGUACGAAAGCAUGGGGAGCAAACAGGAUUAGAUACCCUGGUAGUCCAUGCCGUAAACGAUGUCUACUAGCCGUUGGGGCCUUUGAGGCUUUAGUGGCGCAGCUAACGCGAUAAGUAGACCGCCUGGGGAGUACGGUCGCAAGACUAAAACUCAAAUGAAUUGACGGGGGCCCGCACAAGCGGUGGAGCAUGUGGUUUAAUUCGAUGCAACGCGAAGAACCUUACCUGGCCUUGACAUACUAGAAACUUUCCAGAGAUGGAUUGGUGCCUUCGGGAAUCUAGAUACAGGUGCUGCAUGGCUGUCGUCAGCUCGUGUCGUGAGAUGUUGGGUUAAGUCCCGCAACGAGCGCAACCCUUUUCCUUACUUGCCAGCAUUUCGGAUGGGAACUUUAAGGAUACUGCCAGUGACAAACUGGAGGAAGGCGGGGACGACGUCAAGUCAUCAUGGCCCUUACGGCCAGGGCUACACACGUGCUACAAUGGUCGGUACAAAGGGUUGCUACCUAGCGAUAGGAUGCUAAUCUCAAAAAGCCGAUCGUAGUCCGGAUUGGAGUCUGCAACUCGACUCCAUGGAGUCGGAAUCGCUAGUAAUCGCGGAUCAGAAUGCCGCGGUGAAUACGUUCCCGGGCCUUGUACACACCGCCCGUCACACCAUGGGAGUUUGUU
rnacentral:rRNA from 1 species